rnacentral:rRNA from 1 species
CGCACGGGUGAGUAACGCGUAUGCAACCUACCUAUCAGACGGGGAAUAACCCGGCGAAAGUCGGACUAAUAACCGCAUAAAACAGGGACACCGCAUGGUGAUAUUUGUUAAAGAAAUUCGCUGAUAGAUGGGCAUGCGUUCCAUUAGGUAGUUGGGUGAGGUAACGGCUCACCAAGCCGACGAUGGAUAGGGGAACUGAGAGGUUGGUCCCCCACACUGGUACUGAGACACGGACCAGACUCCUACGGGAGGCAGCAGUGAGGAAUAUUGGUCAAUGGGCGAGAGCCUGAACCAGCCAAGUCGCGUGAAAGGAAGAAGGAUCUAUGGUUCGUAAACUUCUUUUGCAGGGGAAUAAAGUGCAGGACGUGUCCUGUUUUGUAUGUACCCUGAGAAUAAGGAUCGGCUAACUCCGUGCCAGCCGCUGC